AUUAUUUGAAUCCUCUUCUAGAAUCAGUCUUUGUGAUACUGUAACAAAUUUUCCCAAAGUUUUUAUGAAUUGAUUCUCAUGUAAUCUCCUCCAAAAGGGUAUUGGCCUCGUCAGGCAAAAGACUCAUUAAAGGACUGAAUGUAAAUACGGAUCGUAGAAUUGUCGAUUCCUUGGGAAAAGCACUGCUUUUUCUCUUACACCGCCUCAAAGAAAUAUUUUUCUAAUAAAAUACUUUGAAUAGCAACGUUUUCUCUAUUUUGAACUGAAUCAUUCCGUCCCUGCAGUUAUUGUGGAAUUUGAAAUACCUAAAAAAUCACCGUUUGGAUUAUAAUUUCCUCCCAGCGUUUUGUAUUUGGAUUAAUAAUCGUGACUGAAUUUUUAUUCUUGGAGUUAAACCCAGCUGACAGACUAGCCGCUGAAAACUUGGAUAGAACGUUUGAACUGAAACAGGUGUUGGUGAGCCGGGGCGUGGGGCUUGGGCUAUGACGCUCGGGGCGGCGGCUCGCGACUGACAUGUCGCUAUGACGUCAUGUCU